CGGCGUGGUCUGGUCCGUCCCGGAGGGGAGAAGAGGGGGCUAAAGGGUCGAUUGGAGGCCGCGGUACCGAGACCGGAGACGGCGGCGGUGGUGGCGCCGGCGGUCACGGAGUGUCUCGGCGUAGGGUUGCAGCGCUCCUGACACCCCCUUCGACAGCCCGCGCGGACAGGCCGUAGGCCCCACCUGCCAGCGGCGACGGGGCCGGCCUGGAGUCGUGGUCGACGUGGUGCCGCUGACGGGCGGGAGCGGGAGCGGUCACGGACGGGAGUCGUAGCAGAGAGCGCCGACCACCAGUGGCGCGGUGUAGUCCUCUCUGCCCGAGUUUAGAGGCGGCCGCCGCUUGACCAUGGCCUGCCCUGUACGACGCGGCUGCUGCUCAAGACGACCGGCGAUCGCGGCCCCCUAAGUGCCGCGUACCAGCUGACUUCGAAGACUUGCUUCAGGUGUUGCCUGACUGUUCAACGAAUCGACGUCUAAGUGUAUCACAGUCUCUUGUUAGGCGGGAAAUAGGUAGGUCCGAAGACCACUGACCACCACACAUCGCGUGCAAGUGUAGUCGUUGAAAAGAAACACCAGUCUAGGUUUUAUCGCGUAAAGACGCGGAUAACCGUAGGUACCAGGUACAAAUCAGUAAUCACACUACAGAUACCGAUGGGUGGUUUCCUCUGAACUUGUUUUACAAGGAGCACAUAACAUAAAGUGUAUCGUCAACAUAUUUCCUCGUCUUUUUAUUCUCGAACGAGAGUUCGGGUGUGGGAGUUUCUAUUUCAUCUUCGAAAAAAGAAAGUUUACCCGACGAAGAACGGUACCCCUACGAACGAGGACCAGGACACGCAUGAGGUGAGGUACGAAGGUUCAAGAAGUCCGACGAAGUACCUCCUUUCCCGCCGGGAGUACCUUUAAUCGAGAACCAAAUGCUCGCGUUUUAGGCACCAAGGGUCAAGCACCCCUGUGCCACUACUGACAACGAGGACCCUUCCCUAGUGCACGCUGUUAUCGUGCGUAGCUUAUAACGCAGAGCUGGAAAAGGCUGAGAUGGUCAGUUAGGGAUGGAUACCUUCACUACCAAGGUACAGUUAGCUUAGAUGCCUUCAACGUACGACCUUGAACUUGAACUGUUAUAAAAGAAGCAAGGCCCUCGAAGUCGACGACCUAAAGAGACCUUUAAUGCGAACAAAUGCUUUAAAGCUGCCAGAUGUUCCUAACGCUUUCGAGUUCAUAGAGUUGGAGUCACUGUUGUCAAAGUAUCCCUUAUAGGGUCUUAGACAGUCGUUGGACCAAAGAGACCUCCAGUAUUUAGAGUUCUCUUUAUUGUACUCACCCAGAGAAGUCUUAUAUCCAAAUUUUUUAGAGGUCUUAGAUGCUCUUAACGUAAACCCUAGGUUAGCUAACUUACCAUCGGAGGGUCGUAGGAAUAAACGGGAAGGUACGGAACUCAUGAACCUAGAAAGUCUUUUGGAGAAACUUCCUGUAUAUGGAUAUUCGAGUUGAACCUUAACAAGGAGCAACGAAGUUUGAUAGGCCAAUAGACCUUUGUUCGAUUCACCAUUUUAACUAAAGAAGACCGAUUCUAUAACAUGACUCGAGUUUCUCUAUCUAGACAGGUCCUUGUGACUAAACCAACAAGAUCACUUUUACGUACCAACCCAUGGAUUUAAACUUAACUCUUGUGAUUACGAAAGAAGUACAUUGGAACUAUUCUCGUACUAAUGUCUCGGUGUAAAGGAUGUGUGUGUUGUAGUAGACGUCAAAGAACUAAACAGUUUGUUAUUAAACGCCCCUUCGUACGGGUUAAAAGACAAGUGCUUCCUUCGCUGUGAUCAAAUGGACCUAGAAAGCUCAUUGAGUAAUCAACCUAGUAAUAUGGGCUAUACCUUUUUGGUUUGAUUAGAAGCUGACGACUUGUAUCGAGAUUUGGCAUAACUUCCUGUCGACGAACGGUUAUAUUCAAGUUACAAAGGGCUCGACUACUAAGAGUUACAAAGAGUAUUAUUAUAUAGACCUCAACACGGUAGAAGUGACACGUUGUAACCGUCGUAACUUUAAUACCUAGACAGUUUAUUAUUUAAACGUCCUCUCCAUGGUAGAACGAACAAGUGACUAACAAGACGAAACCUUCAUAACUUCGAAAGUUUGUUAUUGGAGCCCCCACACUAUGAACUACCCCGAUCAUUGAACAGACGCCGUCUUUAUAUGGAUCUGUUGUUGUUUAAACUUCCCUGAGAUGGAUCUUUAGACAGACCAUUACAGGUUUAGUACCUAAAUGUACUAUUGUUAUACAGUCCUCGUGACCUGUAAAGUAAUACCUUAGAAGGAAGUGACCGUCGAAACUCGGAUCGAUCUUUAUCAAAUUGGCCACUGUAAGUAGGUCUUUAAACAUUUAAUUGUUCGGAAGUCUACAAUCUAGAUAGCCUAUUGAUAAAAGAUCCCGAAUAUGGUGUGACGUCGUCAUGUAAUGGUGAGGUCAAAGACUCAUAUAGACCCUUAAGUGACAGUCCGAGAGGUUUACGUAAAAAGUUGUCGAGGAAGUAAUGUCGAAACCUAGAGUCGGCCUUAGUCAAGUGUCCGUUGGAACUCACCUGUGCUAUAGAAAGACUUUAGUCCGAUGACAACAAUCCGUCUUUAUUCAAACUCCCUGUCUAGAGUAGUUUAGAGACAACAGAGGUCAUGAACUCAUAUUAACUGUAGAGAGUAUUGUUUGAGAGCCCAAGACAUGGUGCCACAUAACCACCGUAGGGUAAACUUCUGGGACUUGGACUUCGAAUAUGUAAAAUGACCGGGUCUUGGAGGUCAUUGAGAAAACCUCCCCCCAAACCACACAAGCUACUAUGCCCGAAGAGUAUAUUGUCACUAAUACUUGAGGUUCCUAAGUGGAAGUGGUGAUUUCCCUUGGGUGGUAUGUGUAUGCCUGUGUUGAAGAAGUACAGCUACAGACCGUAACUGAACAGACGUUUGUACGACAGCCCGCUCUAAGGCUACCUCUACCCCUUAAACUCGGUGUAGUUCAGAGAGUUGAACAGCUUGUUAAAGAAAUGACCGAGAUAGGGACGUUGGAAACGUUUGAACUGGCUCUAACUCUCGAAUCUGGAUAGUCUUUUGUCCGACUCGCCUAGUCACGGUACCGUCAAUUGAGCCGAUAGUAGGGAUCUCCACAAAAGACACCGUAUGUUGUUAAAUAGCCCCACAGAUGGUCGGUCGCCAGUCAAGUCGUGUAAGCCAUACCUGUCAAUGUUUCCCUUGUUGUUGGAAUCUAGUACGUGAAGUUCAAGUCCAGGGUACCGUCGUUUACCACAACGUCCUUCACACCGACUACUAAGACUGGGCUAGGAAAUGCACCAGUCACGGCAAAGUAAGUAGAACCGUAAAACCCGGUGACAGCGUAAGCAUAAAACGGUACGUGAACCUGCCGCACAACAUGAGUUUGACAUUAUCCAUUUCUCUGCCUCCCGAUCCACUUACCGCUGCUAAAUAUGUGUUGUAUUUAUAAACAUUCGACACGGAAUUAUUAGACGAGAGGACAAGACAAUAUUUGAUACGAUAGUAAACAACGAAAUAUCUUCGAAACAGAGUCGUCUUCACAUAAAGGUUAAACAAGAACACGUACUUCCACUCACUUGGACAACUUUUAUACUUGAACUUUUAUCUGACCCCACGACUCCUCCAUUCUUCUACGACGGGAUACCCCAUCUUACCACGAAUUCCCACACAAACCAUCGUAAGAGUUGGAUCGUACCAACAAGAGGGGAAUAUGUACAACUUGUAC
rnacentral:rRNA from 1 species